rnacentral:rRNA from 1 species
GUGCCAGCAGCCGCGGUAAUACGGGGGUGCUAGCGUUAUCCGGAUUCAUUGGGUUUAAAGGGUGCGCAGGCGGAUUAUUAAGUUAGUGGUGAAAUCCCGGGGCUCAACCUCGGAACUGCCAUUAAUACUGGUAAUCUGGAAUACGGUUGAAGUGGGCGGAAUGUAGCAUGUAGCGGCGAAAUGCAUAGAGAUGCUACAGAACACCGAUCGCGAAGGCAGCUCACUAAGCCGAUAUUGACGCUCAGGCACGAAAGCGUGGGGAGCGAACAGGAUUAGAUACCCUGGUAGUCCACGCCGUAAACGAUGAUAACUCGUUGUUGGCGACACACAGUCAGCGACUAAGCGAAAGCGAUAAGUUAUCCACCUGGGGAGUACGAUCGCAAGGUUGAAACUUAAAUGAAUUGGAGG